GCAGCUGGGAAACCUAACAGUUUCGAAAAGGCCGUGAGUGACCGGAACACGAUUCUCCUUCUUUACCAUCGCGCGCACAGGUAGCAACAACGUGUGCCGCUUUAGCGCGUCUCUUAUCGUAGAUCUUCGCUCGUUCCGUCUUCAGCCACCAAGAAGGCUCGGUAUAAAGCUAUACACACUUCGUUUCAUUAAUGUUAAUAGUCAACAGACUUGGACGUCACGCGUAUUCAAUGACACCUAUCAAGGGCGUAACAUUCGUGAUCUUUUUAUUAAGAUGCUAGUUACUGCUGUACGUAAUGGAGAUGGGUGAUAUCUAUUUCCAAUAGGCGAUGGCUUUAUCGAGAUUUGCAGAUGGACGAUACAAUGAUCUUUGAGUGUCAAAUAAGAAACUGAACAAUUUUCUUUUGAAGAUACAAUAUCUUCU
rnacentral:misc_RNA from 1 species